UACGUAGGGUGCAAGCGUUAAUCGGAAUUACUGGGCGUAAAGUGUGCGCAGGCGGCCGCGCAAGUCGAGUGUGAAAGCCCCGGGCUUAACUUGGGAAUUGCGCUCGAAACUACGUGGCUGGAGUGUGGCAGAGGAAGGUGGAAUUCCAGGCGUAGCGGUGAAAUGCGUAGAGAUCUGGAGGAACACCGAUGGCGAAGGCAGCCUUCUGGGCCAACACUGACGCUCAUGCACGAAAGCGUGGGGAGCAAACAGG
rnacentral:rRNA from 1 species